UUUUGUUUAUAUAUUAAAAAGGAUUUGUAUUUGUUAUUUCAUUUUUUUCUAUAAUUUUAUUUUUUCUAAAUUUUUUCUUUCAUUUUCAUUUUUCUUUUUUAAUGGUGCUUGAAGUUUCAUAUUUUUGUUUUUUAUGUUUUAAAUUGUGUGUAUUCUUUUUUUUACAGUUUCUUUCUUUUUUCUGGUUUUAUGUUUUUAUUUUUAAGAAUGUUGAUUAUUCUCUUUUUUUAUUUUAUUUUUAUUUUCUUAUUUAUUAUUUUUUUUCGUUUAUUAUGUUUACUUUUCUGUGUUUUUUCUUUUUAUCGACAAUGUUUUCUUUUUGAAUUUUUAACUAUUUUAUUUUUUUCUAUUUGUAUUGUUAUCUCUUUUUUUUCCUCGCUUUAUCCUUUCUUCCUUUUUUAUUUUUUAUUUUCUUAUUUUUUUCGUAUUUUUUGGAUUCUAUAUUUUAUCUAUUUUUUUUUAUGUUUUUUCAGUUAUAUAUAAAGAAAUUUUUAUCUUUUUUAUUGUAUCUAUAUUUUUCUAUUGAGUUUAUUUUCUUUUUAUUAUGUUUUUUAAUUUCUUUCCCUAUUUUCUGCUUCUUUCCUUUUUUAAAUUUUUGUUAUCUACUUUUUUACCUCUUUUUUAUUUUUUUAUUUUUUUUGGUUAUAUAUGUAUAUAUAUUAAUAUCUUCUCUUUUUUUAUUUUAUCUUCUUUUGUUUGUAUUUUUAUUUGUUUAUUUAUUUAUUUAUUUAUCUUUUGUUUUGUUUUUUCUCUGUUUUUAUUUACCUUUGUUUUCAUAUUUUUUUAGUUUUUUGUUUUAAUUUUUUAACUGUUUUUAGUGUUUUUCCUUUUUUGUUUUUAAUUUUUUAUCUAUUUUUUUUUCUUUUUUCCUCUUUUAUCUAAUUUUUUUAUAUUAUUAUCUUCUCUUUUUUUUUCUUUUUUUUUUCCUUUUUUUGUUUUUUCUUUUCUUAAUUUUUUUUCAAGUUUUCCUUGUUUUAUCUACUUUUUUAUUUUUAUUUUUGUUGUUAGCUUAAAAUUUUGUAUCUUUUUUUUAUCUAAAUUUUUUUCCUUUCAUUUUACAUUUUUUCGUGUUUUAAAAUUUUUUUAUCUUCUUUCUUUUUCUGUUUUUUAAUUUUAUAUAUAUACUCUAUAGAUAGAUAGAUAGAUAGAUAGAUUGAUAUGUUCUCUCUUUUUUGUAUUUUGUAUUUUAUUUCUUUAUGUAUUUUGCUUUUCUUUUGGUUGUUUUCCUCUUUUUAUCUAUAUAUAUUUUAUUUUAUUUUGCCUUCUUCUGUUUUUAAUUUUUUAAUUAUUUUUAUUUUUUUCCUCUUUGUUAUCUAUUUUUUCUAUUUGUAUUGCUAUUUUCUCUUUUUUUCUGUUUUUUUCCUUUAUUCUUUUUUUUAUUUUUUAUUUUUCUUAUUUUUUCUACUUUUUCUGUUUUUCUAUUUUUCUGUUUUUUCUGUUUAUAUAUAAAUAGUUUGUGAUCUUUUUUUCUUUUAUUCUUUUUUCUUUUUUUUUCAACAUUUUGUCCUUUCAGUUCAUUUUUUUCAUUUUCCUGUUUUUUCAUGUUUUAAAUUUUUGAACUGGUUUUUUUUUUUUUUUUUACCAGUUUUAUCUAUUUUUUUCUGAUUAUAUAUUUGUUCAUCUUCUUUUUUCCCUUUUCCCUUCUUUCUUUUUUAUUUCUUUUUUUCGUGUUUUCCUUUAUUCCUUGUUUUUAUUUGUAUCUACUUUUUUCCUAUUGUCUUUGUUUUUGUUCAUCUUUUCUUCAAUUUUUUGUUUUUAAUUUCAUUUUUCUUUUUGUUUUUCUUUUUUUUCUUGAUUUUUUCUGUUUUGUUUUCUAUUUUAAACUAUUUUAACAGUUUUUUCAUUUUUUCCCUUGACUUUUAUACCUGUUAACACCUACCAAUGUAUUGAGGUCAAUUGUCCAGAUGUUAGUCACAUUUACGUCUUUGCACUUUGGUUUCAUCCCGUAAUAAUAAACAUACUAAUUUUGAAAAUAUUUUUGACUUGAUUUUGAGGGUACAGCGGCCAUUGUGUCUAGUAUUUGGUAACACAUCAAUUUUUAGUGACUUGUUAAAGGGCUGCUUCCGCAGCAACCAAAUUUCCGGUACAGUUAAUUUGAGCCCUAAACAGCAUUUGAAAACUUUUUUUGCACUCAAAACCUUGACUUUAAAACUGCAUUUUCCUGUACUCAAAACCCUCAAAAUCUUACGGUUACAGUGAGACUUGUUUUGGUUCAAGUUGUUUUCUUGCAAUUCCACCCCCAUUGUAGUUACUGUGAAUUACAAAGUUAGACAACACUGCGGAAAAUUGCUGCACUAGUAAAAACGGCGUUUGGGGGGAAUUUGAAGGGGUUAUUUAACCAUAUCGAAAAGUUAUGAGAUUGUAGGAGUUAUUAACCAAGCCUAAAUUCACAAGAGUAGUUAUGUUCCAAUACGUACUGGUUGCAAAAAUCUGAUUUUAUUAAAAAAAAUGGUUGGAUGCCCUAUCGGAGUUGGAAGAUAACAGUCUAGUUUCACCCACACUGUUAAUAAUUCGAAACUUCGAAUAGUUUUAUGGCCAAAACAUUGAGUAGUGAUCAAGCCUUUCAAAGUUGCUGACUUUUAUUUUAUUUCGUGUGGAAGUGUUUUUGUAAUAUGGUUUUGUAUUGGAAUUUAGAAAUCACCCUACUUAAGUUGUAUAAAUCAACUUAUGUUAAGUUGUAUAUCAAGAAGUUGCCUGAUGGUGGUGGGUUUGGGUUUGGGGGUGUUAGCUCUGUGUAAGUGGUUGGGGGUGGGUUUUAUGGCAAUGAUUGGGUGGAGGGUGGCGGCCGCGGGGUUGUUAUUGGUUGGUGAUUGGCGAGGUAGAUUUGUAACCUGUACAUCAAACAAGGGCAAACAGUCUUCUGAUCAAAAGAGUAGAAAUCUCUAGUUUUCAACAGACUUUUCAGUGUUGAACCCACUAAAAAUAUUAGUUUUGAACCAUGACACUUGGAAAAAAAAAACACUCUUUUUUUACAUGUAUCUAAAGAACUAUACUUUAAGCAAAAGUUAGAUACUGUAUGAUUUGUUCCCAUGCUUUGAUGUAGGGGUAAAAAUAAAAUAGCUUCUCGAACUUAUGAUUCGUUUCGGAUCGUUAAAAAUUUGUUAAGAUUGGUUGUUACUUAAACAAACCAAACUUUAAACACUGUACGACUUGGCUCGAUAAGCUUAUAUGUUAAAAAUUCAAUCUAUCAAAUUCGGCUCGAUUAAUCUCUUUUAAUAUCGAUUCCUUAUAAACAAAAGCUAAGUUUGAAGCAUAUUGUUUAAAACGCGGUUAAGUCUAAAUCAACUGAACCUUUACUAUUUGACUCGUUAUAAGCCUACAUUACUUGAAUCAUUAAAACAAUGUCAUUGCAUACGCACUAUAUGUUUUAUCCAACUUCGUCAACCUUAAAAUUUUGAUGGUUUAGUUUUGCUUUUAUACACUGACUAUCCCAAUUUUAUAUUGUUUAAUAGCAUAAUUCUUUAAAAAACUCAACUUGUAAGUUAAUGUGAAGUUUUAUUUUUUUUUCUUAUUGCAAAAUUGGAUUAUACAAAUGUAGGUUUUGACAUUUCAUAUUGUUUUCUUCUUAUCCAUUGCUAAUUUAUGCAAGGAAAAAAUUAAUUUAACGCAAAAAAAAGAAUAUUAAAAUGUCUCUCUUAAUUAUAAUUAAGAAAAGUUAAUUAUCACAAUUUUGUAUGUAAGAGGGGAGAACAGCUUUUUUAUGACUCAAGUCAAGAUGAAUGAUUAAGUUACUGACUAAUAGAAAGAAAUUGGAAAGAAGUUUCCAGUUUUUGAGUGCAGCUACUAUAUCCUAGUGGAAGCAUAUGUUAAACAAAAAUCAAAUCUGUAGGGGUUUUCCUCCAGAUCUCUAAUAAUGAGGUGAAAUUGGGCCAUACAGACUAGAAGAUAAAAUAUUUGCACAUUUCAGUAUAACGGCUGUACUUAGCACUACUAUUUUACCCCUAUGGAAUGCAAGAAAUGCAUUAAAUUUUUAUUUUGAAGCUCUAGAUGCAGCCAUAGCGACUUCCAAAGUCGAAGAUUGACAUCAGAACUAGCUAUGUAACUUGGAGAAAGGGGAAAAGAAUCUAUUUGCCGUUAUUGGUUGGUUGGCUCGUUUCUUUAUGGUUCUUGUUCUUUUUCGUGUUCAAAGUCCUGGUGUUCUAUGAAAGAUUAAACUGGUUUUUACUUAGUUGACAUUUAUGCUUUGUAUUUUGGUGGUUGUGAAAUCAUAAAAAAUUACUUAUCCAAAAUUCACGCCCAGGCUUGUCAACACCAGACAUAUCGAUGACUAAUUUCUCUAUAUUUGGUGAACUUUGUCAGAGUCCUUGCCUAUGGGUAGGCUGUCCAAUUUGUUGCCUUCCAUGUUCAGGGUUAAACAUUUACACCUUACAUUGGGAAAGGUCACAACCUUUGACCUCCCAUAUCGACAGAACCCACCUUGUCAUCUGAAAUAUUUCAUUUAAUAGGACCCCACUAUGAAGAUAUCCAUGCAAAAUAUCUUGUUGAUCAAGAUUAUAGCCACACAAUUAGAUAAUUUUUGGUAUGCGGCGGGAAUGAUUUUCAAAGUAAAUUGUUUUGGUUUUUCAAACAAAUGCCAGUAUAGCUCACUUGAUUUUUGUGCAAUGGGUGAUCUUUUUAGAUGGCCUAAAAAUGACUGGGCGGGUCGGGUUAUGUAUCGUUUGUGUCUUGUGGCGCGAACNNNNNNNNNNNNNNNNNNNNNNNNNNNNNNNNNNNNNNNNNNNNNNNNNNNNNNNNNNNNNNNNNNNNNNNNNNNNNNNNNNNNNNNNNNNNNNNNNNNNGUUUUUUUCAUUUUUUCCUUGAACUUUUAUCCUGUUAACACCUACCAAUGUUAUUGGAGGUCAAUUGUCCAGAUGUUAAGUCACAUUUAACGUCUUGUCAACUUGGUUUCAUCCGUAAUAAUAAACUACUAAUUUUGAAAUAUUUUGACUGGUUUUGAGGGUACAGCGGCCAUUGUGUCUAGUAUAUUGGUACACAUCAAUUUUUAGUGACUUGUUUAAGGCUGCUUUCCGCAGCAACCAUUUCCGGUGACAGUUUAAUUUGAGCCCUAAAACAGCAUUUGAAACUUUUUUGCACUUCAAAACCUUGACUUUAAAACUGCAUUUUUCCUGACUUUCAAAACCCUCAAAUCUUACGUUACAGUUGAGACUUGUUUUGGUUCAAGUUGUUUUCUUGCAAUUCCACCCCCAAUUUUAUUUACUGUGAAUUUUCAAAGUUAGACAACACUGCUGGAAAUUGCUGCACUAGUAAAAAAGCCGUUUUGGGGGUGAUAUUUGAAGGGGUUAUUUAACCAUAUCGAAAAGUUAUGAUAUUUGUAGGAGUUAUUUAACCAAAUCCUAAAUUCACAAGAUUAGUUAUGUUCCAAAUACUUACUGGUUGUCAAAUCUGAUUUUAUUCAAAAAAAAUUGGUUGAUUGCCCUAUAGGAGUUGGAAGAUACCGUUAGUUUCACCAAUGUUAAUAAUUCGAACUUUCGAAUAGUUUUUAUGGCCAAACUUGAGUAUUUGUGGCUCAAGCCUUUCAAAGUUGCUGACUUUGAUUUAUGUCUUGGGUGGGAAGGUGAUUUGUAUAUGGUUUUUGUAUUGAGAUGAGAAUCACCCUACUUUAAGUUGUAUAAAUCAACUUAUGUUAGUUAGUAUAUCAAGAGUUGCCUGAUGGUGGUGGGUGGGGGUGGGGGGGUUAGCUGGCUGUGGAGGGGUGGGGGGGUUUUUGGGGGGGGGGUUUUUUUUAUGGCAAUGCUGGGGGCGGGUGCGCCGCGGGGUGGUUAUUGGUUUUGGUGCUCCUGGCGGAGGUAGAUUUGUAACCCUUGUAUCAUCAAACAAGGCAAAAGUAUUCUGAUCAAAAGAGUAUAAAAUCUCUAUUUUUACACAGACUUUCAGUGUGAAACCCAUAAAAAUAUGAAGUUUUGAACCAUGACACUUGAAAAAAACACUCUUGUUUACAUGGUAUUAUAGAAACUAUACUUGGCAUACCAAAAGUUCGGAUACUGUAUGAUUUGUUCCCAUUCAUUGAUGUCUUGUAAAAUUAAAUAACUUCCUCGCCUUAGAUCGUGUUCGGAUCGUUCAAAAAUUUGUUUAAGAUUUGGUUUGUUACUUAAACAAACCAAACUUUAACACUGUACUACUUGGCUCGAUAAGCUUAUUAUGUUUAAAAAAUUCAAUCUACUCAAAUUCGGCUCGAUUAAAUCUCGUUUAAUAUCGAUUCGCUUCAUAAACAAGCUAAGUUUGAGCAUAUUGUUAAAACUCGUUAAGUCCUAAAAUCAAACUUGAACACUUUACUAUUUGACUCGUUAUAAGCCCUACAUUAAUGGAAUUCAUUAAAACAAUGCAUUGAUAAGCACUAUAUUUUUAUCCAACUUAGUCACCGUAAAAUUAUUGAUGGGUUAGUUCUUGCUUUCUACACAUGACUAUCCAAAUUUUAUAUUGUUUUAGCAGAAUUCUUUUAAAAAUCAACUUGUAAGUUAAUUGUGAAGUUUGAUUUUUUUUUCUUAUUGCAAAUUGAUGUAUACAUGUAUGUUUGACCAUUGUUCAUAUGUUUUCGUAUCACUGACUAAUUUAUCAAAGAGGAAAAUUAAUUGGUAACGCAAAAAAAAGAAUAUUAAAUGUCUCUCUUAAUUAUAAUUAGAAAAGUUAAUUAUCAAAAUUUAGUGAUGUAAAGAGGGGGAGAACAGCUUAUUUAUGACUCAAGUCAAGACUGAAUUGAUUGAAGUUACAUGACUAAUAGAAAGAAAUUGAAAGAAGUUUCAAAGUUUGAGUGCAGCUACUAUAGCCUUAUGUGGAAGCAUAUGUUAAACAAAAAUCAAAUCUGUAGGGGUUUCCAGACUCUGAAUAAUGAGGGGUGAAUGGGCCUACAGAAUAGAAAACGAUAAAAUAUUUUGCACAUUUCAGUAUACCGGCUGUACUUAGCAGCUACUAUUUACCACCUAUGGAAUGCAAGAAAUGCUUAAAUUUUUAUUUAUGAAGCUCUAGAUGCAGCCAUAGCGACUUCUAAAGUCGAAGAUUACAUCAGAACUAGGCUAUGUACUUGGAGAAAGGUGGAAAAGAAUGCUAUUUGCCGUUAUGGUUGGUUGGCUCUUUUCUUUAUGUUUCUUGUUCUUUCGGUUCAAGUCCUGGUGUUCUAUGAAGAUUUAACUGUUUUUACUUAGUUGACAGUUAUGCUUGUAUUUUGGUGGUUGUGAAUUCAAUAAAAAAUUUACUUAUCCAAAAAUUCACCCCAGGCUUGUUCAAAAACCAGAAUAUCGAUGACUAAUUUCUCUAUAUUUGGUGAACUUUGUAGAAGUCCUGCUAUGGGUAGGCUGUCCCAUUUGUUGCCUUCCAUGUUCAGGGUUAAACAUUUACACCUUGACAUUGGGAAAGGCACACCUUUGACCUCCAAUAUCGACAGAACCCAACUUGGUAAUCUAAAUAGUUCAUUUUAUAGGACCCACUAUGAAGAUAAUCCAUGCAAAAUAUCUUGUUGAUCAAAGAUUAGUAGCCACACAAUUAGAUAAUUUUUGUAUGCGCGGGAAUGAUUUUCAAAGUAAAUUGUUUGUUUUUUCAAAACAAAUGACAUUAUAGCUCAACUUGAUUUUUGUGCAUGGAUGAUCUUUUUAGAUGGCCCUACAAAAUGACUGGGCCGGGUCGGGUUAUGUACGGUUUGUGUCUUUGUGGCGCGAACCCACUUUGUGGAGGCAAAAUGUCCUUCAACUCCCUUGGCUGAUGACUUCUCACUUUCAGCCAUUCUGUUUUUUUGGGAAAUGGUUUUACAUAAAUAAAAUUCAUACAUAAACUCUUGCAAUAAUAACGUGAUAAUAACACUUUAUGGGUAUUUUGUUUAAAAGUAAAAGACUCACAUUAUGUUCCGUCAUUCUAUAUAAAAAUAUUGUAUAAAUUUUAUGUUUGUAUAUUAUUAUCAUUUUUUUGUACAUAGUGAACAACUUUAAUUAUUUUGAUGAAAGUUUUUAUUUUUCUAGUUUGUUUUAACUAGAGAAACCUAAAAGAAAAAAAAAAUUAUUUUCCAAUUUAUUUUGAAUAAAACAAUUGAAAAGAGUAAAAGAUUUUAACUGAAAACUUAAAAUUAUUCACAUCUUUCUUUUUUAAAAUGUAUCAUAGCUUUGGUUUUUAGAAAGUUUCGGUUAUUAGAAGGUUUUGGGUUCAAAUCUCUCUUUUGCAUUUUGCUUCUCCUCUUUGCAUUAUGCUUACCUUUAUAUGAAUAUUUGUGUCUUCAUAUGCAAUACAAGAUUGCAGGUAAGGAAGGGUAUUGGAUAGCAUGAUAUGCAUCCGUGGGCAUAUUUCCUAACGGCUUUAAGACAAUUGGUGAGAUAACAAACUGCCUAGUAGCUAGCAGACACUUAGAUCCAUGUUCAAUAUGUCUUCAGAGGCCAAUUUAUUAUCACAGAAGCUAUAACACAGAAUAAAUUAAGGCACAAUUGAGAACUCGUGAACUUAAAAUUCAUCAGAGAAAAGAAGAAUAGAGAUGAUUGAAUGAAGACACAUUACUUAUCACCAGGUUUUCAGAAUCAACUUUCUCAACACUUUCUUUCCCAAGGGGAAUUAGGAAAUUCUUACAUACCACUUGUAUACUUUUGAAUCCGCACACCAGUUAAGAUACAAAUAUUGUACACUGCAUGUUUCGGUCAUGCUGAGAAAGCAAAAGAGCAAGCAGUCUAUUGGGAAAAACAGAAAUAAAUACAAGCACAAAUGGCAUAACAGCGCCACCAGAAUUACAUGCCUCAUAGUCGCCACCAGAAUUACAAUCUUUAGAUGCGGCAAUAAAUAAUAAAAGAAGUAAACUAGGUUUCACCGAGAAAGUGGAGUGAUCCGUUUCCACUUAUAGUAACAUAAUACUGCAUCAGGAGAGCUCGUGGGAAGCUUAAAAGGUUUGAGCUGCUGGAAAAAUUCCUCGGGUGGUUUAUAGUUUCCCUGGCAUAUGAUAACCAUCUUUUGCAGAACCCUUGCAUUCUUCAGCGCAGAAAAUUGUUACCAAAAGGAAAGUUGGAGUCAUAGCGAAUACCCUCCUAACGAGGGGUAAAACGUAAACUUUUUUGAAGAUGCAGCGUCAACACACCUGAAAGUCCUCUUUCGUGAUGUCCAGUAGUUGCUCUUCGUCAAAAUUAAAAAGCUC
rnacentral:lncRNA from 1 species